UACGUAGGUGGCAAGCGUUGUCCGGAAUUAUUGGGCGUAAAGCGCGCGCAGGCGGUUCUUUAAGUCUGAUGUGAAAGCCCACGGCUCAACCGUGGAGGGUCAUUGGAAACUGGAGAACUUGAGUACAGAAGAGGAAAGCGGAAUUCCACGUGUAGCGGUGAAAUGCGUAGAGAUGUGGAGGAACACCAGUGGCGAAGGCGGCUUUCUGGUCUGUAACUGACGCUGAGGCGCGAAAGCUAGGGGAGCAAACGGG
rnacentral:rRNA from 1 species